rnacentral:rRNA from 1 species
GAUGAACGCUGGCGGCGUGCCUAAUACAUGCAAGUCGAACGGAAAGGCGCUGCUCUUGCGGGUCGCACGUGUCGCGAGCGCGGGUGUAACACGCGAGUAUCCUGUCCCUGACUGACGGAUAACUCUAGGAAACUAGGGCGAUUAUCGGAUAGGAGAUCUUGAUGCACGGGGGGGGUUGGUAAGAUACGGCGGUUGGGGAUGGACUCGCAGCUUAUCAGCUUGUUUGUCGGGUAGUUGAGUCCGAAGGUUAUGACGGGUAGCCGGCCUGAGAGGGUGACCGGCCACAUUGGGACUACGAGACGGACCAGAAUCCUACGGGAGGCAGCAGUGGGGAAUAUUGCACAGUGGGCGGACGCCAGAUGCAGCAACGCCGCGUGCGGGAUGCCGGCCUUCGGGUGGUAAACCAAUUUCGCCUGUGACGAAGCGUGAGUGACGGUAAUGGGUAAAGAAGCACCGGCUAACUACGUG